ACGCUGGCGGCACGCCUUAUACAUGCAAGUCGAACGAAGUAGCAAUACUUAGUGGCAGACGGGUGAGUAACAUGUGGGUAUCUUCCCUUUGGUGAGGAAUAACACGAGGAAACUUGUGCUAAUACCUCAUAAGUCUUUACGGAGAAAGCUUUAUGCGCCAAUGGAUGAGCCCGCACUUGAUUAGUUAGUUGGCAGGGUAAUGGCCUACCAAGACUUUGAUCAAUAGCUGAUUUGAGAGGAUGAUCAGCCACAUUGGGACUGAGACACGGCCCAAACUUCUACGGGAGGCAGCAGUAGGGAAUCUUGCACAAUGGAGGAAACUCUGAUGCAGCGAUGCCGCGUGAGUGAAGAAGGCCUUUGGGUUGUAAAGCUCUUUCGUCGGGGAAGAAAAUGACUGUACCCGAAUAAGAAGGUCCGGCUAACUUCGUGCCAGCAGCCGCGGUAAUACGAAGGGACCUAGCGUAGUUCGGAAUUACUGGGCUUAAAGAGUUCGUAGGUGGUUAAAAAAGUUGGUGGUGAAAUCCCAGAGCUUAACUCUGGAACUGCCAUCAAAACUUUUUAGCUAGAGUAUGAUAGAGGAAAGCAGAAUUUCUAGUGUAGAGGUGAAAUUCGUAGAUAUUAGAAAGAAUACCAAUUGCGAAGGCAGCUUUCUGGAUCAUUACUGACACUGAGGAACGAAAGCAUGGGUAGCGAAGAGGAUUAGAUACCCUCGUAGUCCAUGCUGUAAACGAUGUGUGUUAGACGUUGGAAAUUUAUUUUCAGUGUCGCAGCGAAAGCGAUAAACACACCGCCUGGGGAGUACGACCGCAA
rnacentral:rRNA from 1 species